GGCAGCUACACAUGCAGUCGAGCGGUAGCACAGAGAGCUUGCUCUCGGGUGACGAGCGGCGGACGGGUGAGUAAUGUCUGGGAAACUGCCUGAUGGAGGGGGAUAACUACUGGAAACGGUAGCUAAUACCGCAUAAUGUCGCAAGACCAAAGUGGGGGACCUUCGGGCCUCAUGCCAUCAGAUGUGCCCAGAUGGGAUUAGCUAGUAGGUGGGGUAACGGCUCACCUAGGCGACGAUCCCUAGCUGGUCUGAGAGGAUGACCAGCCACACUGGAACUGAGACACGGUCCAGACUCCUACGGGAGGCAGCAGUGGGGAAUAUUGCACAAUGGGCGCAAGCCUGAUGCAGCCAUGCCGCGUGUGUGAAGAAGGCCUUCGGGUUGUAAAGCACUUUCAGCGGGGAGGAAGGCGUUGAGGUUAAUAACCUUGUCGAUUGACGUUACCCGCAGAAGAAGCACCGGCUAACUCCGUGCCAGCAGCCGCGGUAAUACGGAGGGUGCAAGCGUUAAUCGGAAUUACUGGGCGUAAAGCGCACGCAGGCGGUCUGUCAAGUCGGAUGUGAAAUCCCCGGGCUCAACCUGGGAACUGCAUUCGAAACUGGCAGGCUAGAGUCUUGUAGAGGGGGGUAGAAUUCCAGGUGUAGCGGUGAAAUGCGUAGAGAUCUGGAGGAAUACCGGUGGCGAAGGCGGCCCCCUGGACAAAGACUGACGCUCAGGUGCGAAAGCGUGGGGAGCAAACAGGAUUAGAUACCCUGGUAGUCCACGCCGUAAACGAUGUCGAUUUGGAGGUUGUGCCCUUGAGGCGUGGCUUCCGGAGCUAACGCGUUAAAUCGACCGCCUGGGGAGUACGGCCGCAAGGUUAAAACUCAAAUGAAUUGACGGGGGCCCGCACAAGCGGUGGAGCAUGUGGUUUAAUUCGAUGCAACGCGAAGAACCUUACCUGGUCUUGACAUCCACAGAACUUACCAGAGAUGGAUUGGUGCCUUCGGGAACUGUGAGACAGGUGCUGCAUGGCUGUCGUCAGCUCGUGUUGUGAAAUGUUGGGUUAAGUCCCGCAACGAGCGCAACCCUUAUCCUUUGUUGCCAGCGGUUCGGCCGGGAACUCAAAGGAGACUGCCAGUGAUAAACUGGAGGAAGGUGGGGAUGACGUCAAGUCAUCAUGGCCCUUACGACCAGGGCUACACACGUGCUACAAUGGCAUAUACAAAGAGAAGCGACCUCGCGAGAGCAAGCGGACCUCAUAAAGUAUGUCGUAGUCCGGAUUGGAGUCUGCAACUCGACUCCAUGAAGUCGGAAUCGCUAGUAAUCGUAGAUCAGAAUGCUACGGUGAAUACGUUCCCGGGCCUUGUACACACCGCCCGUCACACCAUGGGAGUGGGUUGCAAAAGAAGUAGGUAGCUUAACCUUCGGAGGCGCUACACUUG
rnacentral:rRNA from 1 species